rnacentral:rRNA from 1 species
AGUGAACGCUGGCGGUAGGCCUAACACAUGCAAGUCGAACGGCAGCACAGUAAGAGCUUGCUCUUACGGGUGGCGAGUGGCGGACGGGUGAGGAAUACAUCGGAAUCUACUUUUUCGUGGGGGAUAACGUAGGGAAACUUACGCUAAUACCGCAUACGACCUACGGGUGAAAGCAGGGGAUCUUCGGACCUUGCGCGAUUGAAUGAGCCGAUGUCGGAUUAGCUAGUUGGCGGGGUAAAGGCCCACCAAGGCGACGAUCCGUAGCUGGUCUGAGAGGAUGAUCGGCCACACUGGAACUGGGAACCGGUCCAGACCCCUACGGGAGGCAGGAGGGGGGAAUUUUGGAAAAUGGGCGAAACCCUGAUCCAGCCAUCCCGCGUGGGUGAAGAAGGCCUUCGGGUUGUAAAGCCCUUUUGUUGGGAAAGAAAAGCAGCAGGUUAAUACCCCGCUGUUCUGACGGUACCCAAAGAAUAAGCACCGGCUAACUUCGU